UACGUAGGGGGCGAGCGUCGUCCGGAGUUACUGGGCGUAAAGCGCUUGUAGGCGGUCCACCAAGUUUGGGGUGACAGUUGCCGACUUAAUCGGCAAAGUGCCUCAAAGACUGGCGGACUUGAGGGCCACAGAGGGACAUGGAACUCCAGGUGUAGUGGUGAAAUGCGUAGAUAUCUGGAAGAACACCAAAGGCGAAGGCAGUGUCCUGGGUGGUCGCUGACGCUGAGAGGCGAAAGCCAGGGGAGCGAACGGG
rnacentral:rRNA from 1 species